rnacentral:rRNA from 1 species
AUGCGCAAAGGGCUCUCCUCCCUGGUGCUUCUCGCCGCAUGGUCCCUCUGGCGUCACCGCAACGCAUGCAUCUUCGACAAUGCUAGCUCCUCCGCUGUGCUACUUCUCCAGGCCAUCAAGGACGAUGCUAGGGUUUGGGCCUUGGCUGGCGUUAAAGACAUAGCUAAUCUCAUGCCACCUUGA